UACGGAGGAUGCGAGCGUUAUCCGGAUUUAUUGGGUUUAAAGGGUGCGCAGGCGGAUUUUUAAGUCAGCGGUCAAAUCGUGGGGCUCAACCCCAUCCAGCCGUUGAAACUGGGGAUCUAGAGUGUGCGAGAGGUAUGCGGAAUGCGUGGUGUAGCGGUGAAAUGCAUAGAUAUCACGCAGAACCCCGAUUGCGAAGGCAGCAUACCGGUGCACAACUGACGCUCAGGCACGAAAGCGUGGGUAUCGACCAGG
rnacentral:rRNA from 1 species